GGCUCCUGCUGGUAUCUCUGCAGCUCAGGGCUGCAAUCGGACCCAUGAGAAAGGGGCACUGCCUGCUUGGCCGGUGCUGAUAACGCAGAAGCCCAAGCCCAGGGGAGGAGUCCCAUCCCAUGUCAUGGGGCCUCAGACGUCUGAAGAGUGGGUGCUGCUCUCCCAGUACUGGAAACCCUGUGGCUGAAAUUAGGUUGUUUCUGGAAAUACAGAAAGCAGCCAGGGGCUGGAUCCAAUUGCAGCUGCUGGCCUGGAGGAAGAUGGCUGGGGUCAGGUAACAGUGACAAUAACCACCAUCAAAUAAGAAGAAUCAAAUUUCUCCCCUGCCCUCCACCAAGCCUGGAAGGUCCUCAGCUGCAGAAACGGACAGAAAGUCAAGUGGGAAGGAACAUGGUUUGUGCAUCUUAGCCCCAGUACCAGAGAGACAAUGAAAACAAUAAAAUGAACUUGGACUUAGGGGCACUGGCUUCAUAACUGGUACAGUGACAUUGAGGACCAGCAACUCCAUAUAGAAGUUCCUCCUUGAAGAUCAAUUUCUGAGAUGCUGACCCUCCAUAAUGGAGAGAAACGUGUGCCCUGUUUCACUACUUCUCUGCCACUCUGCCAGACAGUCCAUUCUUCACGCACCUGGAGCACUAGAGGCUGCGUUUAUCUCCGAACUGGACGUCCACUCUGAAGCCUUUCAGAGCUGCUGUCACAACGCAUGGGGCAAGUCUGGAACUCCAUUCAUUACAUCGUCUUACUUUUCUGCCUUGGCAAACAGUGUUCCUGUGGAGCUCUGCCAUUGCCCUUUCUUAAAAAUCCAGGUUUCCAGAAUGUAAAACUGUUAAUAAACACAAAGACUACUAAUUCUACUACUGUCCUCAUAUUUCUUGAGGCUACCGAUGUUAUUGAAUUCCACAUAUUAGGGAGGAAAAGUAAUAUCUGGCAGAUUUUACAUUAAUGACCCCUUCAUUGAAUCUCCCCUCUCUAUCUCCUCACAACUUGCAUGCCUGGUUGGAGAUUUUUUACCUACCAUAGGAAGCCAGUGUUAUUGUUGGAGAGGCAUCAGAUACCUGAGGUAUGUCUCAGGUGGGAUGGAGGUUGGGGAGGGCUGGGAAUAAGGUAGAAAACUACUGCAAUGAGGAGAGUAUUUUCUAGGGCACCCUGAAACAUGGGGGCUAGAUAAUAAUGACUAUUUGUACUGGGAGAUUCCACUGUGCUUGUUCUUUGCUAAAAUCAUAUUUUUUAUUCCUUACAACAAUCACACACAAGUACAAUAUUACCCCCAUUUUAUACAUGAGAAAAUUAGAAAUUAGAGAGGUUAGAUACCUGCUCUGGCUCACUGCUACCAAGUUUAACUUGUACGCAGUUCUUCCACGCUCAGAAGUCUACCAUGCUUGCCAGAGCUUAGUGAAUUUCUUGAGCUCAUAAUAUCUUUUACUUCCAAUUCUAAAGUCAUUUAAACUUUUUAGAUCCUAAAAUAUUUAAAGAUCUUUCUCUCUGGCUUUAAAUUCUUUAAUGUUGAAAUCUUGCAUGUCUUCAUAUUUUUAGUACCACAAAAAUCACAGGGAUAUUUAAAAUGAUGUACAGUUUGGUCAAAAGACAUAUUAAAAGAUGUGCAACAUCACUAAUCGUCAGAUAAAAGCAAAUUAAAGGCACAAUGAGAUACUACCUCACCCUGUCAGA